AGAGUUUGAUCAUGGCUCAGAUUGAACGCUGGCGGUAUGCUUAACACAUGCAAGUCGAACGGUAACAGUCCCUCACCUAGAAAUUUCUUAAAAAGAGAUUUGUAGGUGAGGGAGCUGACGAGUGGCGGACGGGUGCGUAAUGUAUAGGAAUCUGCCUAGUAGUGGGGGACAACUCGGAGAAAUUCGAGCUAAUACCGCAUAAGCCCUACGGGGGAAAACGGGGGAUCUUCGGACCUCGUGCUAUUAGAUGAGCCUAUAUUAGAUUAGCUUGUUGGUGAGGUAAUGGCUCACCAAGGCGACGAUCUAUAGCUGGUCUGAGAGGAUGAUCAGCCACACUGGGACUGAGACACGGCCCAGACUCCUACGGGAGGCAGCAGUGGGGAAUAUUGGACAAUGGGCGAAAGCCUGAUCCAGCAAUACCGCGUGUGUGAAGAAGGCCUGAGGGUUGUAAAGCACUUUCAAUUGGGAGGAAUACCUAAUAGUUAAUAGCUAUUAGAUUGAC
rnacentral:rRNA from 1 species